rnacentral:rRNA from 1 species
GAUGAACGCUGGCGGCGUGCCUAAUACAUGCAAGUCGAGCGAACAGACGAGGAGCUUGCUCCUCUGACGUUAGCGGCGGACGGGUGAGUAACACGUGGAUAACCUACCUAUAAGACUGGGAUAACUUCGGGAAACCGGUUCUAAUACCGGAUAAUAUAUUGAACCGCAUGGUUCAAUAGUGAAAGACGGUUUUGCUGUCACUUAUAGAUGGAUCCGCGCCGCAUUAGCUAGUUGGUAAGGUAACGGCUUACCAAGGCGACGAUGCGUAGCCGACCUGAGAGGGUGAUCGGCCACACUGGAACUGAGACACGGUCCAGACUCCUACGGGAGGCAGCAGUAGGGAAUCUUCCGCAAUGGGCGAAAGCCUGACGGAGCAACGCCGCGUGAGUGAUGAAGGUCUUCGGAUCGUAAAACUCUGUUAUUAGGGAAGAACAAAUGUGUAAGUAACUAUGCACGUCUUGACGGUACCUAAUCAGAAAGCCACGGCUAACUACGUG